UGGAAAUCUACUUAUAUUUGAUUGGCGGCCUUUCCUCCUGCGGUGUAACAAUGCCCCCUAGUGAUAUCUUAGAUGGCUCUGCACACCGGGGAAGCAGAGGCACAAUCCGAAGUCGUCUUAUAUCAAUCACGCUGACCUGCAGAUGUCAGGGAUUUUUCUGAUAUACUAUAAUGCAGAAGCCGAGGGGUUCCAACGUGUCAGGUGACUGAGAAAAGAGAGCCACAAUGGAAGACAAAGGUGUCG